GAUUGAACGCUGGCGGCAUGCCUUACACAUGCAAGUCGAACGGCAGCACGGGAGCAAUCCUGGUGGCGAGUGGCGAACGGGUGAGUAAUAUAUCGGAACGUGCCCAGUCGUGGGGAUAACGUAGCGAAAGCUACGCUAAUACCGCAUACGAUCUAUGGAUGAAAGCGGGGGAUCGCAAGACCUCGCGCGAUUGGAGCGGCCGAUAUCAGAUUAGGUAGUUGGUGAGGUAAAGGCUCACCAAGCCGACGAUCUGCAGGCUGGUCUGAGAGGACGACCAGCCACACUGGGACUGAGACACGGCCCAGACUCCUACGGGAGGCAGCAGUGGGAAUUUUGGACAAUGGGCGCAAGCCUGAUCCAGCAAUGCCGCGUGCAGGAUGAAGGCCUUCGGGUUGUAACUGCUUUGUACGGAACGAAACGGUGAGCUCUAAUACAGUUUGCUAAUGACGGUACCGUAAGAAUAAGCACCGGCUAACUACGUG
rnacentral:rRNA from 1 species